GAUGAACGCUGGCGGCGUGCCUAAUACAUGCAAGUCGAGCGAACAGACGAGGAGCUUGCUCCUCUGACGUUAGCGGCGGACGGGUGAGUAACACGUGGAUAACCUACCUAUAAGACUGGGAUAACUUCGGGAAACCGGAGCUAAUACCGGAUAAUAUAUUGAACCUCAUGGUUCAAUAGUGAAAGUCGGUUUUGCUGUCACUUAUAGAUGGAUCCGCGCCGCAUUAGCUAGUUGGUAAGGUAACGGCUUACCAAGGCAACGAUGCGUAGCCGACCUGAGAGGGUGAUCGGCCACACUGGAACUGAGACACGGUCCAGACUCCUACGGGAGGCAGCAGUAGGGACUCUUCCGCAAUGGACGAAAGCCUGACGGAGCAACGCCGCGUGAGUGAUGAAGGUCUUCGGCUCGUAAAACUCUGUUAUUAGGGAAGAACAAAUGUGUAAGUAACUAUGAACGUCUUGACGGUACCUAAUCAGAAAGCCACGGCUAACUACGUG
rnacentral:rRNA from 1 species